CCGUUACCGAUUGAAUUUAAGUGAUGGACAUACAUGGAAGUUAUGAUAUAGCCCAGUUACGCAGUGAAUUUACAUGAUGGACAUGGUAGAUAAAAUCAAUUAGUGUCAUUAUAAACAUGUACAUAAAUGGAAGUUAGGAUAUAAUGUGGACCCGUAUUUGUCAUUUUACAAAGUAAUAACAUAUAUACAGAGCUACAAGUACAUUCCACUACGAUAUAACGCGACCUAACAGAAAUAUGGUGGUGUGUAAAGUGUUUGCGGAAUCCAAUGAUGUAUAUGUGACAAACCAUCAUUGGUGUGUAUGGUGUGUCUUCACACUCAGUGAAAUGU